UUAUGGCUGGCUCAGUGGUAGAGUACUUGCCUAGCAUGUGCAAGGGCCUGGGUUCAAUCCCUAGUACCACAAA
rnacentral:tRNA from 1 species